UACGAAGGGGGCUAGCGUUGCUCGGAAUUACUGGGCGUAAAGCGCACGUAGGCGGCCCUGUAAGUCGGAUGUGAAAUCCCUCGGCUCAACUGAGGACGUGCAUCCGAAACUGCAGAGCUCGAGUAUGGAAGAGGGUCGCGGAAUUCCCGGUGUAGAGGUGAAAUUCGUAGAUAUCGGGAGGAACACCAGUGGCGAAGGCGGCGACCUGGGCCAAUACUGACGCUGAGGUGCGAAAGCGUGGGGAGCAAACAGG
rnacentral:rRNA from 1 species